AGCUUCAGGGGACUGAGCCAGGGUGCCCCUGAAUGUAUAAGGGUAGGAAUCCACAGCGCUGUACUACCCAUAUACCUACUACAUGGCCUGCAAUCGGGAGAGUCACUAGUCAGGCCUGAUCCCGGCUGCAGGCCUGUUACUUCCAAUGCCCCGCGGCCGACGCCGUGACUUGUCUACGGCGCCGCCCGCGGCUCUGGCCCACCCGCUCAAUUAAAAUUCCAUAUUAUGAAGUCGACUUCAUAUUAGACGUUUCCGUCACAUUUUCUUGUUAUUUCGUGUUCAUGUUUGUGUUAUUUAAGUAGGUACUCGGAUUUUUUUAAGUGUGUCUUUGAUUUAUAGCUCAUACCCAGCCUCUUGGCUGGGCUUAAUUAUUUAAUGUUUAAGUUAGAUGUAAAUUCUAAAUAUAUAUUUAUUUUAUAAGGAACAUAAUUUAAGACUUGGUUGCGGUGAAUUAAUUCAACGGGAGGUGGAUUGGAAGCUUAUGCGGUUUUUCAUCUUUUGUUUUUUCAUUUAGUAUUUAGUUUUAAGAUUAUUUGAGUGUUGUUAGUUUAAUCAACAUAGUUUUAUGAAAUAAAUAUUUGUGUGAUCACACUAUUAAAUAAUUUA